GACGAACGCUGGCGGCGUGCUUAACACAUGCAAGUCGAACGGAAAGGCCCUGCUUUUGUGGGGUGCUCGAGUGGCGAACGGGUGAGUAACACGUGAGUAACCUGCCCUUGACUUUGGGAUAACUUCAGGAAACUGGGGCUAAUACCGGAUAGGAGCUCCUGCUGCAUGGUGGGGGUUGGAAAGUUUCGGCGGUUGGGGAUGGACUCGCGGCUUAUCAGCUUGUUGGUGGGGUAGUGGCUUACCAAGGCUUUGACGGGUAGCCGGCCUGAGAGGGUGACCGGCCACAUUGUUACUGGGAGACGGGUCAGACUCCUACGGGAUGCAUCAGUGGGGAAUCUUCCACGAUGGGCGGAAGCCUGAUGCAGCAACGCCGCGGGCGGGAUGACGGCCUUCGGGUUGUAAACCGCUUUCGCCUGUGACGAAGCGUGAGUUACGGUAAUGGGUAAAGAAGCACCGGCUAACUACGUG
rnacentral:rRNA from 1 species